ensembl:lncRNA
GAGAGAUGAAUGUAGGAGAGAGAGAUGGAGGAGAGGUGAAUGGAGGAGAGAUGGAUGUAGGAGAGAGAGAUGGAGGAGAGGUGAAUGUAGGAGAGAUGGAUGGAGAAGAGAUGGAUGUAGGACAGAUGGAUGAGGAGAGAUGGAUGUAGGAGAAUAAAGAAAGAAAAGGAGAAGAGGGGCCGAGUUAAGAAGGGGGGGUAGAGAUACAUCUACUCUUAUUCUACUCGCCUUGUCGUUAUUUUCCUCUCAUGUUACGGCGAAUUCACAGAAUCAAAUGCAC